AUACGUAGGGGACGAGCGUUGUCCGGAAUUACUGGGCGUAAAGGGCGCGCAGGCUGUGCUGCAAGUCAGCUGUUAAAUGUCUGGGCUUAACCCGGGCAUGCGGUUGAGACUGCGGUGCUGGAGUGCUGUAGAGGCAAGUGGAAUUCCCAGUGUAGCGGUGAAAUGCGUAGAUAUUGGGAAGAACACCGGUGGCGAAGGCGACUUGCUGGGCAGCAACUGACGCUGAGGCGCGAAAGCCAGGGGAGCAAACGGGAUUAGAUACCCCGGUAGUCCUGGCCGUAAACGAUGAAUGCUAGGUGUGGGUGUAGAGAUACAUUCGUGCCGGAGUUAACGCGAUAAGCAUUCCGCCUGGGGAGUACGGUCGCAAGAUUGAAACUCAAAGGAAUUGACGGGG
rnacentral:rRNA from 1 species